ensembl:lncRNA
GCCGUAUGAAUAUAUGUGUGUGUGUGUGUGUGUGUGUGUGUAAGUGUGUGUAAUUAGCGUUAAACCCCUGGUGUGAAUGGUCCGACUCGAGGUGCGCGACUUCGCGACUUUUUCGAUGGCCGAAGCUUCUGGAAUCGCCUGGAGGUGCGAAGCCGCGAAUCUCACCUACGUGAGGGAGGGUGGCGAAGGCGACACCCUCUAACCGCCGCGACUUUCAGAAGAGAAACUUUCAAAGCGGCGCGGGUUCACGUCAACCUCCACCGGCCCGACGUCCGCCAGGGGGCGCCGGCGCCACAGCGUCCGCGCGGUCUGGACGCCGCAGAGGCUCCGUUCAUCCACGGUGUGUGGAAACACCCUGAAGCAAUUAUUCAAGAAAAAAACAUCUUAUUCCAUCGUCGAAAGGACAGCACCAGGUACAACCUACAGUGUUAAUAAUCCGAUUUUCCAUAAUUACGGCAUAAACAAGAAGCUUGUGCGUCCUUAACAGUCAACUGCAAUAGUAAAAAAACUUUUAUUAUCAUAAAUUGGCAUUACAUAUGUAAGUAAAGUGGAAUAUUUGUAUACAACAGACAAGCUAAUCAACGUGGGAAAAACGUAGUUUAAAAAAAAAACCUUCACGUACCUUCACGCCCUUCAAUUCCCGCAUGUUCAAAGAGGACGCCAGUACGCAUGCGCGGAACAACCAAGAAGCCGAACGAAUCUCGCCCAGACAAAUUAUUAAAGAGUUUCAACUCUACUUGGUCUGCCCUACAUGGCCCUAUUACACCACACGAAAUGGUUAUUUGCUGGAAUAUAGAUGACGAAGUCGGGAUAAAAACCGGGAGGGAGACGGACUGUGAUUGGCUGAGGCUCGGCACCAUAUAUGUCGGCACUGGAUGAGACACGGAGGGCCUGCUGGGAAAAUGGUGUCGUAAUCAGGAGCCCUGGAGUUCUGCCUGAUCAGAUGUUUCUGCAUGGAUGGUCAGGUGAUCAGCUGUCCAGGGUGGCAUUCGGUCCCAACAGAAGGGGUGGCGUUGCUGCUGCCAUAAUCCUCCUACCCACCGAUACCUCCCCUCCAGCUCAAUCCGUCCAUCACCCCACCCCCACCACCCUCGGGCUCCCAUUCCCAGCCCGGCCCUGCCGCUCUGCAGAGUCAGGAGGCCAGGCCACUGAACGCCUUUGUGCCUGCUAACCAAAGCGGAAUGGCCCGGGUGACAAAAGGGGGAGGAGCGGGGUGCAGGCAACACAAAGCCCCGGGGGAGAAAGGGAGUAUGUGGGAGAAAAAGAGGCAUGGGGGAGAAACCGGGGC